CUUAGUGGCGGACGGGUGAGUAACGCGUGGGGAACCUGCCCUGUACAGGGGGAUAACACUUAGAAAUAGGUGCUAAUACCGCAUAAGCGCACAGUAUCGCAUGAUACAGUGUGAAAAACUCCGGUGGUACAGGAUGGACCCGCGUCUGAUUAGCUGGUUGGAGGGGUAACGGCCCACCAAGGCGACGAUCAGUAGCCGGCCUGAGAGGGUGAACGGCCACAUUGGGACUGAGACACGGCCCAAACUCCUACGGAAGGCAGCAG
rnacentral:rRNA from 1 species